rfam:Rattus norvegicus chromosome 7, whole genome shotgun sequence.
GGGGAUUUAGCUCAGUGGUAGAGUGCUUGCCUAGCAAGCUCAAGGCCCUGGGUUCAGUCCCCA